rnacentral:rRNA from 1 species
CGGAGGAAAAGAAACCAACAGGGAUUGCCUCAGUAACGGCGAGUGAAGCGGCAAAAGCUCAAAUUUUAAAGCUGGCACCUCCGGUGUCCGCGUUGUAAUUUUGUGAGGCAUCUCCGGGUAGGGCGCCGGCCUAAGUUCCUUGGAACAGGACGUCAUAGAGGGUGAGAAUCCCGUGCUUGGCUGGCUGUCCCCGUCCAUGUGAGGUGUCUUCGACGAGUCGAGUUGUUUGGGAAUGCAGCUCAAAAUGGGUGGUAAAUUUCAUCUAAAGCUAAAUAUUGGUGGGAGACCGAUAGCGCACAAGUAGAGUGAUCGAAAGAUGAAAAGCACUUUGAAAAUAGAGUUAAAAAGUACGUGAAAUUGUUGAAAGGGAAGCGCUUGAGACCAGACUUCGGUGGGGAGUGAUCAGCUGUCCUUCUUGGGCGGUGCACUUGCUCCCCUCCGGGCCAGCAUCGGUUGGGACGGCGGGAUAAAGGUCCUGGGAAUGUGGCUCCUUUCGGGGAGUGUUAUAGCCCGGGAUGAAAUGCCGCCAGCUCCGACCGAGGACCGCGCCUUCGGGCUAGGAUGCUUGGCAUAAUGGUCUUCAGCGACCCG